GACACAGUCGUGACAUAAAGCCAAGCCUGCACUGUGUACCAACUUACAGGACUGUCGUCACAGCCUCUGAUUUAUGGCCCUGUGAGAGCAUCAUCAUCCCUUUCUAUUGAAAUGUCCACCAAAGGGUGUGAAUGUUUGGAAUCGCCAGCGCGGACCAAUGUGCCAUUCGACACUCAGGAUUUUCACGCAUGUCAACAGAGGUGAGGGCAAAGGGAGAAGAUUGGUUCACCGAGUGCUGAUGUCACAAUGACACUUAACUAUUUGUUAACAUUUCCAUUCACCUCAAGGUGAGAACAUGCAACCCAUUCACAAAGCACAGAAGGGAAGUUUUGCUGUGCUGAUCGCAGAGAAGCAGAACAGAAGCAGCAAAGGUAUCGAACAAUCAGUUUCCAGAUGGGAACAAUACAAUGUGAAAUAACUAAGGCAGGACCCUGGGGAGGCUGGGGAAUUUGAAGAAUUUCUUAGUAGAAUGCGGCGGCAGCCGAAGUUUCCAUUGCCUGCAUCUCCAAAUAUGAGAAGGAGAAAGAACUCAGCCUCAAGCAGACAUGGCUAAUGUGGAAAGCAGAAGUCUGUCUCCUGCUCCCUGGACCUUCAGAGAGGAGGGUACCUACAGAAUUCAAGUGGGGAGCCUGAAGCUUGGGGGGGGGAGCUGAACUCACCCAACAACUUCCCUGUUUCUAUACCUGAUUUGUUAUUUUUUAAACACACCCACCAAUGUUGUGAAGUGGCUGCAAUGGCAGGAGAUGACGGGGAGGAGCAUGGGUGAAGGUUGCUUGGAAUUUGCUGGGGCCAAAUGACACAUUGCAGCGGAGAUGUUGUCUCUUUAAUGCAUCUCUGUCUCUUUCAUGCUUUCACAUACAACACCCAGAGAAUUCAGUAUCCCAUUCUGGAGCUUCCAGCAUAGGGGCUGGAAGGAAAAAACUGCCACCCUGGGCCCCUUCAAGAGGAAAGGUGGGAUAGAAAUCAAAUGAACUAUAGAAAAUUGGGGGGAGCCUAUAUCCACCUCUAGAUCCCACUCUGGUACACCUGGUUAACAUUAUGCUGAUUUCCUAAAAGGGAUGCUGAGAGCUAGAUCAGGGGAGGAACCAUGCUGCAUUGGACAGGAUUGGACUUGAUGACCCUUGGAGUCCCUUCCAACUCUAUAAUUAUGUGGUUCAUGUGCAUGGUGCUUGGGCCAGAAUUUGAGUUACUUCAGCUUCAAACCCUGAGCACAGGGAGCUUUUGGAACAGACGCAUCACUUUCUGGUGGCUCAGAAUGCGAUCAUUUCAGCAUAUGAGUGACAAAUG